UCAGAGAAAUGUUUGAUUUCUGAAUUGUUGGACGCACAUUUGUACGAGGAUUCCAUGGUUCAGCUACCAAAGAGACAAACACUCCUCCAGCCAAGCGCUUUCUCAAUGCACUUCGGCGGAAUUCUGACUCAGGGUGCACACCCUGAGUGAUCUGAUUCUCACUGCAAGAAUUUGCAAGACAAUCAAGAGAUACCAGGGCUGGCUGCGCUUGACUCUGAAAAGAAGACUCAGAACUGAGGAAAAAGAAAUGAAAGAAGCAGGCAUGGGAGAAAGUGAUGCUACUCAGACACGUGGUGUGGAAUGGAGAAGACAGAAAUGGAAGAAGAUGUGGCCUCUCUACUGCUAAUGACAGAUGGAAGCAGUUUUGCUCCUGUGUCUAAGCCCAGUGGAAUGUUCUGAUCAUCUCCAGAGUACGUGUGCCUUCUACGAUAUCAGCCCGGACAAAUUUCCCCACUGCUGUCACACUUGUUCAAUUUCAGUUUCCUGAGUAUCAAAGAAAUUUGAAAAUCCACAAAUAUAUAUAUUUUUACAAGAUGUAAGAAA